UACGUAGGGGGCGAGCGUUACCCGGAUUUACUGGGCGUAAAGCGCGUGUAGGCGGCUGGUCAAGCGUGGUGUGAAAUCUCCGGGCUCAACCCGGAAACUGCAUUGCGAACUGACCUAGCUGGAGUGCAGGGGAGGGCAGCGGAAUUCCCGGUGUAGCGGUGAAAUGCGUAGAUAUCGGGAAGAACACCAGUGGCGAAGGCGGCUGCCUGGCCUGUAGCUGACGCUGAGACGCGAAAGCGUGGGGAGCGAACCGG
rnacentral:rRNA from 1 species